rnacentral:rRNA from 1 species
GUGGGGAAUUUUGGACAAUGGGGGCAACCCUGAUCCAGCCAUUCCGCGUGAGUGAAGAAGGCCUUCGGGUUGUAAAGCUCUUUCGGCAGGAACGAAACGGUGAGCUCUAACAUAGCUCGCUAAUGACGGUACCUGAAGAAGAAGCACCGGCUAACUACGUGCCAGCAGCCGCGGUAAUACGUAGGGUGCGAGCGUUAAUCGGAAUUACUGGGCGUAAAGCGUGCGCAGGCGGUUGUGUAAGACAGGUGUGAAAUCCCCGGGCUUAACCUGGGAACUGCGCUUGUGACUGCACGGCUAGAGUAUGGCAGAGGGGGGUGGAAUUCCACGUGUAGCAGUGAAAUGCGUAGAUAUGCGGAGGAACACCGAUGGCGAAGGCAGUCCCCUGGGCCUGUACUGACGCUCAUGCACGAAAGCGUGGGGAGCAAACAGGAUUAGAAACCCUGGUAGUCC